rnacentral:misc_RNA from 1 species
AAGUCGUAACAAGGUUUCCGUAGGUGAACCUGCGGAAGGAUCAAUGCGAAUCAGACAGGGGAGAGUGAGAUGCGUUGGAAUGUGCACGGAGACACCGAACAACAAUGCUUUUUACGAUCUGUAUGACUUGCCACCCGGGAUCUCUGGGCUCUU